CACCAACGCCCGGGUAUUACGAGCUUAAGCUUAAAACCCAAAGGACUUGACGGUGUCCCACCCACCUAGAGGAGCCUGUUCUAUAAUCGAUACUCCCCGCUCUACCUCACCAUUUCUAGCCUAUCAGCCUGUAUACCUCCGUCGCAAGCUUACCAUGUGAACGCCCCUAGUAAGCCUAAAGGUCAUCCACCAAUACGUCAGGUCAAGGUGCAGCUCAUGAAAUGGGAAGCAAUGGGCUACAAUUUCUAAUGCAGAACAAACGAAAGACUACAUGAAACACAGUCAUGAAGGCGGAUUUAGUAGUAAAAAGAAAACAGUGUGUUCUUUUUAACUAGGCACUGGGACGCGUACACACCGCCCGUCACCCU
rnacentral:rRNA from 1 species